GACGAACGCUGGCGGCGUGCUUAACACAUGCAAGUCGAACGGGAUCCCAAGGCUUUUUGUUUUUGGUGAGAGUGGCGAACGGGUGAGUAACACGUGAGUAACCUGCCCCCUUCUUUUGGAUAACCGCAUGAAAGUGUGGCUAAUACAGGAUAUUCCAGGCUGGUCGCAUGAUUGGUUUGGGAAAUGGUUUGGUCUGGUGGGGGAUGGGCUCGCGGCCUAUCAGCUUGUUGGUGGGGUGAUGGCCUACCAAGGCGGUGACGGGUAGCCGGCCUGAGAGGGUGGGCAGUCACACUGGGACUGAGAUACGGCCCAGACUCCUACGGGAGGCAGCAGUGGGGGAUUUUGCACAAUGGGCGCAAGCCUGAUGCAGCGACGCCGCGUGAGGGAUGAAGGCCUUCGGGUUGUAAACCUCUUUCGCUGGGUUGAAAGGCCAUGCUUGGGGUGUGGUUGAUUUGAACUGGUAAAGAAGAACCGGCUAACUACGUG
rnacentral:rRNA from 1 species